AUUGAACGCUGGCGGCAGGCCUAACACAUGCAAGUCGAGCGAGAGGCGGACGGGUGAGUAAUGUAUGGGGACUGCACGAUAGAGGGGGAUAACUACUGGAAACGGUGGCUAAUACCGCACACUGUCGGAUAACCCAUAUGGGAUUGGCUAGUAGGUAAGGUAAGGGCUUACCUAGGCGACGAUCCCUAGCUGGUCUGAGAGGAUGAGCAGCCACACGGGGACGUGGACACGGCCCAGACUCCUACGGAGGCAGCAGUGGGGAAUAUUGCACAAGGGGCGCAAGCCUGAUGCAGCCAUGCCGCGUGUAUGAAGAAGGCCCUAGGGUUGUAAAGUACUUUCAGUCGGGAGGCGUUACCGACAGAAGAAGCACCGGCUAACUCCGUGCCAGCAGCCGCGGUAAUUC
rnacentral:rRNA from 1 species